UGACCGUGGCGACAGCUGGGCAUUGGUCCUUCAGGUGUAGGAGCAGGGGCACCAUGCUCUGGUGCACCUGGGUCCGCAGGCCGCUCAGCUCCCUGUCUGCCAUGGCCGCCACCAGGUCCCCGAACAGUGCCAUGGCUGCCGCCCGAAUCCCGUCCCGCUCCUGCAAGGCAGAGGCUCAGAGGCACGGCCAGACCUGUCCAGGGGUCCCAGCUUUGGUCCAAGUUGGGACCCCACACCUUGUAGGGCCCAGGCCUCAUGAAUGCAUUUGAGGGGCGCCUAUCCCCCAGAUUCCCCAGUGAAGGAAAAACAGCCACGCUAACCGUGCUGACAUGUCAGAAAGCAAAUCUGGGUAGGCUGUCGUGGGGCCGGAGACCACUGCACUUGGAGACUGAACGUGAGAACUAGUUCAGCCCUGUGGAGAAGGGGUGAGCGCCAGGGGCCCACCCAGCCCACCUGCUCAGCGCCCACCUCAACCGAGGGCCACAAGCGGGCAGCUCCCCAGGGCCUGGGCCUCCCUGCUUGCAGCUUGGGGUUCCCCCUUUGGCAGAGGAAGGGAGCUGGGUUGGGAGGAGGGUCCUGGAGGGCGUGAGCAGGAGGUAGCCCCGCCCUGCCCCAGUGCUCACGUCAUUAAAGAAGGAGCGUGUGCUGAUGG
rnacentral:lncRNA from 1 species